rnacentral:lncRNA from 1 species
GGGAGACCCCUGUCUCUACAGAUGAGUUUUCUAUAAAAUAGCCAGGCCUGGUGGUACCUGCCUGUAGUCUCAGCUAUUGGGGAGGCUGAGGCAGGAGGACUGCUUGAGCCCAGGAGGCCGAGGCUGCAGUGAGCUUUGAUCAAGCCACUGCACUCCAGCCUGGGCAACAGAGUGAGACCCUGUCCCCUAAAACAAAACCCGUCAAUAGGAAACAGAAGUUACAAGGACCAAAUCAGGAUCUUGGUUUAGAACAUGAAGUCUCCAAAACUGGAGUGAUGAGACAUUGGAGAGACAUCCUCAUCACCCACCACCUCAACCCAUUGCCCUCAUGCUUAAAUCUGGUCCCCCCUCGAGGUAUCAACUGCACAGCAUAUUCCUUCCUAACAUCAGCCUAUGCUGUAGUAUUCAUCUUUUCCUCCUUUCCAUUAACCUUUCCUUUUCCCUGGAGUCUGGAGUUUCCCAGGACAAAAGUAAUAGAGCUCAAAGCUGGAAGGAGAUGGAGGAAAGACUUCUGUUGGCAUAGUAAGGCGCUAUCUCCCUUGCUCACAACUGAUCAACCUGUCACCCUCUGUGGAGCAGGAGCCUGGCUGGUUCCUCCUGCUCCAGCCCUGGGCUUGGGGCCCCACUCACCUGCCUCACUCAACUCAUCUCUCCCUUCCUCUUUCUUCCAACCCUGGCCCAAGGAAUCCUUUCUCUCCGAGGCUGCAGGGGACCCAUCCUUCCUCACUUAUCAGCGUGCUCCCAAAUGCAGUGACUAUAACUGAAAGGCCUUCCUUUUUCCAAAAAUGAUGGCUAUUUGAAACUCAAAAGGCAGUGAUUGAGUCUUUAAUACGUUAAACACAGAGAUACCAUAAGACCCAGAAAUUCUCCUCCUGGGUAUAUACCCAAAAGAAUUGAAAGCAAGUGUUCAAGCGGAAUCUUGUAUGUGAUAAUUCAUAGCAGCAUUCCUUAUAAGAGGCAAAAGAUAGGAAUAGCCUAUCAUCCUUCAACUGAUGAAUGGAUUGCAAAGUCCGGUUUCUCCAUAAAACAGAAUAUUAUUCAUCCACAAGAAGGAAUGAAAUACUGAUACACGCUACAACGUGAAUGAACUUGAAGUCACUAUGUUAAGUGAAAGAAAUCAGUCCCAAAGGACACUGAGUCUAUGGUUCCGUUUAUAUACAAUGUCCACAAUAGGCAAAUCUAGAGAGACAGAAAGUAGAUUAGUGGUGGCCAGAGGCUGGGGUGAGGGGGAAUGAGGAGUUACAUUUAGUGGUGUCAUCCUUUGGGGGAGAUAAAAAUGUUUUGGAACUAGAUAGUGAUAAAGGCUGCACAACACUGUGAAUGCCGUAAAUGUCGCUAAUGGUAGAUUUUAUGUUAUAUGUGUUUUACCACAAUAAAAACAAAGUAAAAUAGAUAAUUCCUUUAAAAAAAAGCCAUAGAUUGAUUCCUUUCCCA